UGAGGAAUAUUGGUCAAUGGACGGAAGUCUGAACCAGCCAUGCCGCGUGAAGGAUGAAGGCGUUCUGCGUUGUAAACUUCUUUUAUCUGGGAAGAAACCACAGAUUUCUAUUUGUGUUGACGGUACCAGAUGAAUAAGCACCGGCUAACUCCGUGCCAGCAGCCGCGGUAAUACGGAGGGUGCGAGCGUUAUCCGGAUUUACUGGGUUUAAAGGGUGCGUAGGCGGGCUAUUAAGUCAGAGGUGAAAUCUCCGGGCUCAACCUGGAAACUGCCUUUGAUACUAUUAGCCUUGAAUUAUGUUGAGGUUGGCGGAAUAUAACAUGUAGCGGUGAAAUGCUUAGAUAUGUUAUGGAACACCGAUUGCGAAGGCAGCUGGCUAAACAUAUAUUGACGCUGAUGCACGAAAGCGUGGGUAGCGAACA
rnacentral:rRNA from 1 species